rnacentral:rRNA from 1 species
AUACGAAGGGGGCAAGCGUUGUUCGGAAUAACUGGGCGUAAAGCGCACGUAGGCGGAAUGUUAAGUUAGAGGUGAAAUCCCAGGGCUCAACCCUGGAACGGCCUUUAAUACUGGCAAGCUAGAGACCGAGAGAGGUGAGUGGAAUUCCGAGUGUAGAGGUGAAAUUCGUAGAUAUUCGGAGGAACACCAGUGGCGAAGGCGGCUCACUGGCUCGGUACUGACGCUGAGGUGCGAAAGCGUGGGGAGCAAACAGGAUUAGAAACCCUAGUAGUCC